CGGAGCGUCGCGUUUGCAGGGAUGUGAGUGAGGAGCGGAGGGAGCGGAGCCUAACCGAGCCGAGCCGUCCCGUCACAACACGACCUCAUGGAGCUGGACACCAGACAGAGGCUUCAGACACUGGAACUCAGUCCUCAAUCGGCCCCUUGGGGCUGCCCUUGAAGGGAGAGACCCCUUUAACCCCUCCCUGGUUUCUCCCCCCCCCCCCCCCCCCUCCCCGCCCCUUCCAUUCCCAGCCCCCCUGCCCCAACUCCCCCUGUCCCAUCACCACCUGCCGCUGCCAUGAUCGGAAAGUUAAAGCAGAACCUUCUGGUGGCCUGCCUGGUCAUCAGCUCCAUAACGGUUUUCUAUCUGGGUCGGCAUGCCAUGGAAUGCCACCACCGCAUCGAGGAGCGUGGCCAGGCCAUGGGACCCGGCGCCCUGCGCUCCACCCUACGCACGGGACAAAACGUUAGCGCCGGAGCCUACAACAAGGACAUGCCGCUCAUCUUCAUCGGUGGAGUCCCGCGCAGCGGUACCACGCUAAUGCGCGCCAUGCUGGAUGCUCAUCCCGACGUGCGCUGUGGCGAGGAGACGCGCGUUAUCCCUCGCAUCUUGGCCAUGAAACAGAUGUGGAGCCGCUCAGGCCGCGAGAAGAUGCGUCUGGACGAGGCUGGAGUCACCGACGAGGUCCUGGACUCAGCCAUGCAGGCCUUCCUGUUGGAGAUAAUCGUGAAGCAUGGUGAGCCCGCCACCUACCUGUGCAACAAGGACCCCUUUGCGCUCAAGUCCCUCUCCUACCUGGCCAAGAUCUUUCCCCGAGCAAAGUUCAUCCUCAUGAUCAGGGACGGCCGGGCCUCCGUCCACUCGAUGAUCUCGCGCAAAGUGACCAUAGCCGGCUUUGACUUGGGCAGCUACCGCGACUGCCUGACCAAGUGGAAUCGUGCCAUCGAGACCAUGUACACGCAGUGCCUGGAGGUGGCCGACAAGUGCCUCCCGGUGCACUACGAGCAGCUGGUGCUGCACCCGGAGAAGUGGAUGCGGACACUUCUGCAGUUCCUCGAUAUCCCGUGGAACGAGGCGGUGCUGCACCACGAGGAACUCAUCGGCAAAGCGGGCGGCGUCUCCCUCUCCAAGGUGGAGAGGUCCACAGACCAGGUGAUCAAGCCUGUCAACGUGGAGGCCUUGUCCAAGUGGGUGGGCAAGAUCCCUCCGGAUGUCCUGCGGGACAUGCACAUCAUAGCACCCAUGCUGUCCCGACUGGGCUAUGACCCACACGCCAACCCCCCCAACUACGGCAGGCCUGACCCCCGUGUUCUGGACAACACUAGAAGGGUCUUUAAAGGUGAAUUUCAGCUCCCCGAUUUUCUAAAAGAACACCCACAGCUCCAGAAGUCUCCAGAGAAGCCCAACCCCAGUUAGGAGGAGGAGUGGAAGGCAAGAAUGUCCAAAGAAGCUGGCUUCAAUGAAGAUGGAAAGGAAGUCCGAUUCGUGUCCUAAGGGGCAGGGGGGAUGACACAAGGGACAGACCACGUGGGCACGGAGGACAGCCCUUACUCUCCAUGCAACCUGGGACCCUUUCAGUGUUUUCCUGUGGACGGUGUCUCACACACGCAGGACCAUCCUCAUCAGCGAUGGAGAACUCAAUGUUGUGUUGUACAGUAACGAGCGCAUCUGUCACAAUCUGUGGCCCAAGAAUGUUGUUGCUGGUUAAUCCCCCCCAUCACACCAUUACUCAUAGGGAUUCUAGUUUAUUCUGUGUUUAAAAAAAAAAAAAAAAAAAUCUGUGAUUCUGUUAUAAGAAAAAGCAGCAAAAUUAAUGGGAGAGACAGUAUUUAUGGAAGCUUAUGGAGAUGCAAUAUCUAUUUUUGUUCCUUUUUUUGAUGCCUUUGUAUAGUAAUUCCAUGGGUACUGAUGUACAAGACUAAUUUUGGGGUUUCGACUGUGUAAAGAAUCAGCAUUUUUGUAUCAUGUAUCCACAAUGAAAUGAUCUUUUUGUAUAUGGAGGACAGUAAUAAAUGAU